AUUGAACAAUUACCUUUGAUCAAUGAUAUAUUAAUAUUUUUUUUCAUUUUAAUCCAUGACAUAGCAUUUACACGAGAGGAUAGAUAGCCCAAAAAAUCCAACGUUGCCAAAUGUACGAAAUACAAUUAUUUUAGGUUAUGGCGCGAAAUACAAGUUUUGAAGCAUAGACCUAAUAUCAAGGUGAUAUAAGGUCUAUGUUUUGAAGUUUGUCAUUUGUCUCUGUUUAGUACAGGAUACGCUAAAACAGACCAAAUAUUUGGACCCGAAGCUCAUGAGUUACAGGUACUCCCAAAGAUCCUAAAUGAAAUUAACUGUCAUGCGUGAGAAUGCCGAGAAUUCCCUUCAAAUACGAUUUUGACGUUGAUGUUCCAAACAACAACACAAUUUACAUUUUCUUUUGUUUCCCAUUUUAAUUGCAGAGUGGUAUGAAACAGGUAGAUGAAAUUUGGUAUUAUUAUAUCAACAGGUACAAAAAUAUACAAAAUAUUCUGCAGACCAAUUUUUGAAUAUGAACACACUAUACAGAACUGAACUAGUGCCAAUAAGGGAAAGACUGCAAAAAUUUCCAAGGAAACUCUUCUAAAGGCUACAAAACAUUGAACUAAAGUGACCAUUGAUGCGAAUAUGAUAGAAGUUAUUUAUUAUUAUUAUAUUUAUUUGUAGGUUGAUCAAUUAAUGUGAUUUGAUAAUAUGAAAGAGAAUUUUGUAUGAGAUUGAAUUGAAAGUGCCCUUUUGUUACUAUGAAUAAGUAUUCAAAUUAAAGCUUCUUAAUUAUUUUAUGUGAAUUAAGAAAUUUAUUGUUGGUAAUAAUGGAUUGAACUUUGAGAAAUUUCAAUAAAACAUCUAGAAAUGGA